rnacentral:rRNA from 1 species
UACCAGCACCCCGAGUGGUCGGGCCGAUUAUUGGGCCUAAAGCAUCCGUAGCCGGUCAUGCAAGUCUUCCGUUAAAUCCAGCCGCUCAACGGUUGGGCUGCGGAGGAUACUACGUGGCUAGGAGGCGGGAGAGGCAAGCGGUACUCAGUGGGUAGGGGUAAAAUCCUUUGAUCCAUUGAAGACCACCAGUGGCGAAGGCGGCUUGCCAGAACGCGCUCGACGGUGAGGGAUGAAAGCCGGGGGAGCAAACCGG